rnacentral:lncRNA from 1 species
AGUAGAAUUAGACUUCCACCACCAUUGUUUCUGCCAUUGUUAUCACCAUUAUCACCAUACACCAUUCAUUCGCCACACAUGCACAUCUUGAUUGAACUUAUUGACUUGUUUCUUUGGAUCCAUGGUUUGACUAUGCAAUACAUGUCUUGUAAGUAUGUAUAUUUUAUCUUCCACCUAUGAGCUCCAGAUAUUAAAAGCCUUAUUAGAGUAGGGUGAGAGAGAAGACAAUGUCACUAUGCUUUAUACCACAAAUACUACAUAUCUUGAGAGAAGGCAUAUUCCAUCACUGCCUUGGUAAGGAUCCAGAAAUACCACAAAAGAGAGAUCUGAGAGAGUCAUACAAGGAAUCUCUGAGUUUUAUUUGAAAAUCUGCAAAAGCACCAGAGCUAUAGCUGAUCAAGAAUAAGAGACAUGGCACUUGUCUAGACUGUUCUAUCUUUUAACCAC